rnacentral:lncRNA from 1 species
AGGCUCCAGACAGGUGUGCAGGGUAUCUCUAGAAAGCCCCAGGGUACCAUGGCCAGAAUUUACAUUGGUAAGUCAUCAUGUCCAUCCAUACCAAGGUGCAGAACAAGGAGCAUGUGACUGAGUCCCUACACAGGGCCAAGUUCAAGUUGCUUGGCCACAUCACAAAGAAAUGGGGCUCUAUCAAGUUUAAUGCAGAUGAAUCUGAAGACAUGGUAGUUGAGAAGUGUCUUAUCUCAGAUGGCUGUGGGGUCAAAUGCAUCCCCAGUCAUGGCUCCGCAACAAGUGUCAGGCCU